rnacentral:tRNA from 1 species
GGUAGGAUAGUUUAAUAAAAAUUCUUAUUUUACACGUAAGUGAUGACCUCUGGUCUGCUACCA